rnacentral:misc_RNA from 1 species
GGGAUACUCAGGUCCUUUGCACUGUUACCCUUGGAGCACCUGGGGAUGCUCAACGUCUGGAUUCCCUGGUCGGUCCUUCAAGCAAGCGUUUCAUGCUGCAUUAUAGCUUUCCACCGUUUUGUACAAAUGAAGUUGGCAAACGAACUGGCCUGAAUAGGCGUGAAGUUGGUCAUGGCACUCUUGCUGAAAAGGCUCUGCUUGCUGUAUUACCCCCGGAAGAUGAUUUUCCAUACACAGUCCGAAUCAAUUCUGAAGUCAUGGCAUCUG